rnacentral:rRNA from 1 species
GUGGGGAAUAUUGGACAAUGGGCGAAAGCCUGAUCCAGCCAUGCCGCGUGUGUGAAGAAGGUCUUCGGAUUGUAAAGCACUUUGAGUUGGGAGGAAGGGCAGUAAGUUAAUACCUUGCUGUUUUGACGUUACCGACAGAAUAAGCACCGGCUAACUUCGUGCCAGCAGCCGCGGUAAUACGAAGGGUGCAAGCGUUAAUCGGAAUUACUGGGCGUAAAGCGCGCGUAGGUGGUUUUGUAAGUUGGAGGUGAAAUCCCCGGGCUCAACCUGGGAACUGCCUCCAAAACUGCAUGACUAGAGUACGGUAGAGGGUAGUGGAAUUUCCUGUGUAGCGGUGAAAUGCGUAGAUAUAGGAAGGAACACCAGUGGCGAAGGCGACUACCUGGACUGAUACUGACACUGAGGUGCGAAAGCGUGGGGAGCAAACAGGAUUAGAAACCCCAGUAGUCC